UAAUAUAUCUACCAUGGUCCCACGAGAUGC
rnacentral:piRNA from 1 species